GAUGAACGCUAGCUACAGGCUUAACACAUGCAAGUCGAGGGGAAACGGCAUCGAAAGCUUGCUUUUGAUGGGCGUCGACCGGCGCACGGGUGAGUAACGCGAAUCCAACCUGCCCAUCACUUGGGAAUAACCUUGCGAAAGUAAGACUAAUGCCCAAUGACAUCCCACGAAGGCAUCCGAAUGGGAUUAAAGAUUUAUCGGUGAUGGAUGGGGAUGCGUCUGAUUAGCUUGUUGGCGGGGUGACGGCCCACCAAGGCAACGAUCAGUAGGGGUUCUGAGAGGAAGGUCCCCCACAUUGGAACUGAGACACGGUCCAAACUCCUACGGGAGGCAGCAGUGAGGAAUAUUGGUCAAUGGGCGAGAGCCUGAACCAGCCAAGUAGCGUGCAGGAUGACGGCCCUAUGGGUUGUAAACUGCUUUUAUAAGGGAAUAAAGUGGGUCACGUGUGACUUUUUGCAUGUACCUUAUGAAUAAGGACCGGCUAAUUCCGUG
rnacentral:rRNA from 1 species